AUGUUACAGUCAUCUGAUUGUUACACUGUAAACAGAGACACUCUCAGUAUUAAAGCACUGAAUGAGUCUGAUCUGGAUCAGUACUGGUGUAGAGGACAGAGAGAUGAGAGACCAAACUCAUCACAGGAGGGUAACCGAAUACAUCUGUCUGCUAAUGUCUCAGAUGCUUCAUCUUCUCUUCUGGUCACUGCUGUGGUUGUGGGAUCAAGUGUUUGCUUGUUGAUCUUCAUCUCACUGCUACUGCUGUGGAGAUACAAGAACAACAAAGAUCAGCAGCGUAACAUUAACCAGACAUCAGUCCCAAAUCAAUCUGCAGAAUCUCAACCAGAAAACUCUCCUCUACAGUCUGGUCCUGAUCACAUUUAUGACGACGUGACUGAAGUGAAGAAGAGACACAAAGAUGAUCCAGAGUCAUUUUUGGAGGUCACAUAUUCAGAGGUCUUAUGUUCAUAUUUGGAUAAAGAUGCUGAUGCUGGAGUUGGGAUGCAACUUAUGCUUCUGUUAGGAAGAAGGGUCCCUGAGUGCAGUGAAGAUAACAGACGGCUGAAAGAGAUUCACAGCAGCAGACAAGUAGCGCUUGCAUUGCUUAAAGGGGUCAUAGGAUGCUAAUUUCACUUUUAUAUGUUGUUUAACAUAAAUGUGUUUUGGCAGUGUGUGUACACAUCUACCCUAUAAUGAUAAAAUCCACACAGUGGUUUUAAUUUAAUCCCUAAAAGUAAUAUCCCCUUUUGCAAAUCAGGCCAUUCUCAGCUCCUUGUCUGUGUGACAUCACACGGAUGAAGGCCCCUCCCACGAUAGUUACCUUAGCUCCGCCCUGAGUGAGCUGUCAUCAGUCCAACAUUGUUUCACCGCUGGAGCAGAUGUAGACAAGAUUGUCUCCUAAGCGAUUGAGGUGUUUUGUUGUUGGAUGUAAUAAUGAACAUAGCAGUCGUCAUUUACACCCGACAUCUGAGCCGCUGAAGACGCAGUGGAUUAUGUUUGUUUCUGAAGGGAAUGUGCCCCGAUCAAACUAAAUGCGUUUAUGUUCGCGCAAAUCAUUCAUGAUCCAGCUUCACCAACAGAAGAAGUGAGUAUAUGGUUUUUUAUGAAUCUUUGCAAUCGAUGUUCCUAAUAAUGUGCUAGUUAGCAAGUUCUGCGGCUAGUAAACAGUCUUAGAGCAGGGUUCGUCACCUCACAGAAGAGAGGGGUGGGGUCAGCAAAGUAACGGGCGUGCUGUCUUUAACAGUUUUGAAAUAGGUUGAAUGCACGUCCAUUAACCCUUGUAUUUUCUGCGUUGUGNGACGUAUAAGGACGGAGUGGGGGAGGGAGCGAGGAGCGGAAAAUUUUACACCCAGAGCGGAGCUUGAGCAGAGUAAUUAUGAAAUACUUUGAGCGUGGAGCGCAAAUUCUUCCUGCUCAGCUCCGCUCACAUACUCUGGCUGAUACAGUUACCGCCUCAAACAACUCAGGAUGGGUGCCAGCAACUGUCUUUCCCAUUGGUCCGUCCCACAGCACAAGGUCCCCCACCGCGCGGAUUUUCUGCGGAGCCAGCUGGCCUUCCUUGUGACUUACAAGGAGGUGGAUCUCCCUUGGCCUUGCCAGGUCACUGAGUGGAAUGUCUGGGAAGAAC
ensembl:lncRNA